rnacentral:rRNA from 1 species
AACGUAGGUUCCGAGCGUUAUCCGGAUUUACUGGGCGUAAAGCGCGUUCAGGCGGUUUGGCAAGUCGGGCAUGAAAUCUCUCGGCUCAACCGGGAGAGGUUGUCCGAUACUGCUGGACUUGAGGGCAGUAGAGGGUGGUGGAAUUCCGGGUGUAGUGGUGAAAUGCGUAGACAUCCGGAGGAACACCAGUGGCGAAAGCGGCCACCUGGACUGCACCUGACGCUGACACGCGAAAGCUAGGGGAGCGAACGGG